CCUGGUUAGUUCAGUUGGUUAGAACGCCACACCCUACAUGUGAUUGUUUAAAGUUGUUUAAAAAGAUCAUGGAAACGCGGGUUCAAUUCCUGCACCGGGCU